rnacentral:rRNA from 1 species
CCAAUAGCGUAUAUUAAAGUUGUUGCAGUUAAAAAGCUCGUAGUUGAAUUUCGGGAUCAGUAGGCUGGUCGUGCCUCCGGUACGUACUGGUGUCACUGGUUUCUCCCUUCUGAUGAACUGUCAUGCCAUUUAUUUGGUGUGGCGGGGAAUCAGGACUGUUACUUUGAAAAAAUUAGAGUGUUUAAAGCAGGCCAACGCUUGAAUACAUUAGCAUGGAAUAAUGAAAUAGGACGUUCGAUCCUAUUUUGUUGGUUUCUAGGAUUGACGUAAUGAUUAAUAGGGAUAGUUGGGGGCAUUAGUAUUCAAUUGUCAGAGGUGAAAUUCUUGGAUUUAUUGAAGACUAACUACUGCGAAAGCAUUUGCCAAGGAUGUUUUCAUUAAUCAAGAACGAAAGUUAGGGGAUCGAAGACGAUCAGAUACCGUCGUAGUCUUAACCAUAAACUAUGCCGACUAGGGAUCGGAUGAUGUUAAUUUUUUAAUGACUCAUUCGGCGCCUUGCG